GACGAACGCUGGCGGCGUGCUUAACACAUGCAAGUCGAACGGAAAGGCCCUGCUUUUGUGGGGUGCUCGAGUGGCGAACGGGUGAGUAACACGUGAGUAACCUGCCCUUGACUUUGGGAUAACUUCAGGAAACUGGGGCUAAUACCGGAUAGGAGCUCCUGCUGCAUGGUGGGGGUUGGAAAGUUUCGGCGGUUGGGGAUGGACUCGCGGCUUAUCAGCUUGUUGGUGGGGUAGUGGCUUACCAAGGCUUUGACGGGUAGCCGGCCUGAGAGGGUGACCGGCCACAUUGGGACUGGGGUACGGCCCAGACUCCUACGGGAGGCAGCAGUGGGGAAUAUUGCAACAUGGGCGGAAGCCUGAUGCAGCAACGCCGCGUGCGGGAUGAAGGCCUUCGGGUUGGAAACCGCUUUCGCCUGUGACGAAGCGUGAGUGACGGUAAUGGGUAAAGAAGCACCGGCUAACUACGUG
rnacentral:rRNA from 1 species